CCUACGGGAGGCAGCAGUGGGGAAUAUUGCGCAAUGGGCGAAAGCCUGACGCAGCAACGCCGCGUGAGGGAUGACGGCCUUCGGGUUGUAAACCUCUUUCAGCAGGGAAGAAGCGAAAGUGACGGUACCUGCAGAAGAAGCACCGGCUAACUACGUGCCAGCAGCCGCGGUAAUACGUAGGGUGCAAGCGUUGUCCGGAUUUAUUGGGCGUAAAGAGCUCGUAGGCGGUUAGUCACGUCGGAUGUGAAAUCCCGGAGCUUAACUCCGGGCCUGCAUUCGAUACGGGCUGACUCGAGUAUUGUAGGGGAGACUGGAACUCCUGGUGUAGCGGUGAAAUGCGCAGAUAUCAGGAAGAACACCGGUGGCGAAGGCGGGUCUCUGGGCAAUUACUGACGCUGAGGAGCGAAAGCGUGGGGAGCAAACAGGAUUAGAUACCCUGGUAGUCCACGCCGUAAACGGUGGGCGCUAGGUGUGGGGACCCUUCCACGGUCUCCGUGCCGCAGCUAACGCAUUAAGCGCCCCGCCUGGGGAGUACGGCCGCAAGGCUAAAACUCAAAUGAAUUGACGGCUGAGAGNGCGACGCGACGACGAGGAGAG
rnacentral:rRNA from 1 species